rnacentral:rRNA from 1 species
GACAGAGGGUGCAAACGUUGUUCGGAAUUACUGGGCGUAAAGCGCGUGUAGGCGGCCCUGCAAGUCGGAUGUGAAAUCCCACGGCUCAACCGUGGAAGUGCAUUCGAAACUGCAGGGCUAGAGCCCUGGAGAGGAAGGUGGAAUGCUUGGUGUAGAGGUGAAAUUCGUAGAUAUCAAGCGGAACACCGGUGGCGAAGGCGGCCUUCUGGACAGUGACUGACGCUGAGACGCGAAAGCGUGGGGAGCAAACAGG